rnacentral:rRNA from 1 species
GAUGAACGCUAGCGGCAGGCUUAAUACAUGCAAGUCGAGGGACAGCACAGGUAGCAAUACUGGGUGGUAACCGGCAAACGGGUGCGGAACACGUACACAACCUUCCUUUAAGUGGGGGAUAGCCCAGAGAAAUUUGGAUUAAUACCCCGUAAUAUAGUUGAAUGGCAUCAUUUGAUUAUUAUAGCUACGGCGCUUCAUGAUGGGUGUGCGGCUGAUUAGAUAGUUGGCGGGGUAACGGCCCACCAAGUCUACGAUCAGUAGCUGAUGUGAGCGCGUGAUCAGCCACACGGGCAGUGGGACACGGGCCCGACUCCUACGGGAGGCAGCAGUGAGGAAUAUUGGUCAAUGGACGCAAGUCUGAACCAGCCAUGCCGCGUGAAGGAUUAAGGUCCUCUGGAUUGUAAACUUCUUUUAUUUGGGACGAAAAAGGGCCUUUCUAGGUCAACUGACGGUACCAGAUGAAUAAGCACCGGCUAACUCCGUGCCAGCCGCCGCCGUAAGAC